GACGAACGCUGGCGGCGUGCUUAACACAUGCAAGUCGAACGGAAAGGCCCCUUCGGGGGUACUCGAGUGGCGAACAGGGGAGUAACACGUGAGUAACCUGCCCUUGACUUCGGGAUAACUUUAGGAAACUGGGGCCAAUACCGGAUAGGAAUCCUUGCUGCAUGGUGGGGGUUGGACAGCUUCGGCGGGUUUGGAUGGACUCGCGGCAUAUCAGCUUGUUGGUGGGGUAGUGGCUUACCAAGGCGUUGACGGGUAGCCGGCCUGAGAGGGCGACCGGCCACCUUGAGUCCGAGGUACGGCCCCGACUGCUACGGGAGGCAGCAGUGGGGAAUCUUGCACAAUGGGCGGAAGCCUGAUGCAGCAGCGCCGCGUGCGGGAUGACGGCCUUCGGGUUGUAAACCGCUUUCAGCAGGAGCGAAGCUUGUGGUGACGGUACCUGCAGAAGAAGCACCGGCUAACUACGUG
rnacentral:rRNA from 1 species